rnacentral:rRNA from 1 species
CCUACGGGAGGCAGCAGUGGGGAAUAUUGCACAAUGGGGGAAACCCUGAUGCAGCGACGUCGCGUGAGUGAAGAAGUAUCUCGGUAUGUAAAGCUUUAUCAGCAGGGAAGAAAACCACCCCCCGGGGUGGCUGACGGUACCUGACUAAGAAGCCCCGGCUAACUACGUGCUAGCAGCCGCGGUAAUACGUAGGGGGCAAGCGUUAUCCGGAUUUACUGGGUGUAAAGGGGGCGUAGGUGGCAUGGCAAGGCAGAUGUGAAAGCCCGGGGCCCAACCCCGGGAGUGCAUUUGAAACUGGCAGGCUAGAGGGCAGGAGAGGUAGGUGGAAUUCGUAGUGUAGCGGUGAAAUGCAUAGAUAUUAGGAAGAACCCCAGUGGCGAAGGCAGCUUACUGGACUGUAACUGACACUGAGGCUCGAAAGCGUGGGGAGCAAACAGGAUUAGAUACCCUAGUAGUC